AUUGAACGCUGGCGGCAGGCCUAACACAUGCAAGUCGAGCGGAUGAAGGGAGCUUGCUCCUGGAUUCAGCGGCGGGCGGGUGAGUAAUGCCUAGGAAUCUGCCUGGUAGUGGGGGAUAACGUCCGGAAACGGGCGCUAAUACCGCAUACGUCCUGAGGGAGAAAGUGGAGGAUCUUCGGACCUCACGCUAUCAGAUGAGCCUAGGUCGGAUUAGCUAGUUGGUAGGGUAAAGGCCUACCAAGGCGACGAUCCGUAACUGGUCUGAGAGGAUGAUCAGUCACACUGGAACUGAGACACGGUCCAGACUCCUACGGGAGGCAGCAGUGGGGAAUAUUGGACAAAGGGCGAAAGCCUGAUCCAGCCAUGCCGCGUGUGUGAAGAAGGUCUUCGGAUUGUAAAGCACUUUAAGUUGGGAGGAAGGGAAGUAAGUUAAUACCUUGCUGUUUUGACGUUACCAACAGAAUAAGCACCGGCUAACUUCGUG
rnacentral:rRNA from 1 species